rnacentral:rRNA from 1 species
AUUGAACGCUGGCGGCAUGCCUUACACAUGCAAGUCGAACGGUAACAGGUCUUCGGAUGCUGACGAGUGGCGAACGGGUGAGUAAUACAUCGGAACGUGCCUAGUAGUGGGGGAUAACUACUCGAAAGAGUGGCUAAUACCGCAUGAGAUCUACGGAUGAAAGCAGGGGAUCGCAAGACCUUGUGCUACUAGAGCGGCCGAUGGCAGAUUAGGUAGUUGGUGGGAUAAAAGCUUACCAAGCCGACGAUCUGUAGCUGGUCUGAGAGGACAAUAGGCCACACUGGGACUGAGACACGGCCCAGACUCCUACGGGAGGCAGCAGUGGGGAAUUUUGGACAAUGGGCGCAAGCCUGAUCCAGCAAUGCCGCGUGCAGGAUGAAGGCCUUCGGGUUGUAAACUGCUUUUGUACGGAACGAAAAGCCCUGGGUUAAUACCCUGGGGUCAUGACGGUACCGUAAGAAUAAGCACCGGCUAACUACGUGCCAGCCGCCGCCGUAAGAC